GACGAACGCUGGCGGCGUGCUUAACACAUGCAAGUCGAACGGAAAGGCCCUGCUUGCAGGGUACUCGAGUGGCGAACGGGUGAGUAACACGUGGGUGAUCUGCCUUGCACUUCGGGAUAAGCCUGGGAAACUGGGUCUAAUACCGGAUAGGAGCCAUUUUUAGUGUGAUGGUUGGAAAGUUUUUUCGGUGUAGGAUGAGCUCGCGGCCUAUCAGCUUGUUGGUGGGGUAAUGGCCUACCAAGGCGGCGACGGGUAGCCGGCCUGAGAGGGUGGACGGCCACAUUGGGACUGAGAUACGGCCCAGACUCCUACGGGAGGCAGCAGUGGGGAAUAUUGCACAAUGGGCGCAAGCCUGAUGCAGCGACGCCGCGUGGGGGAUGACGGCCUUCGGGUUGUAAACUCCUUUCGCUAGGGACGAAGCUUUUUGUGACGGUACCUAGAGAAGAAGCACCGGCUAACUACGUG
rnacentral:rRNA from 1 species